AGAGAAACAUGAUGAAUUCUUUCUAAGGUUAUUUCUAAUACAUGGAAUUUACUCCUUGGGAAAAUAUAACACACUUCUUGCUUCUAUAAUCGCCAAAGCUUGUCAAGGGUAAAUUUGGAGAAGAAAGCAGUGUGGGAAGACAGGUACAUUUUAUGUAGGCUUAUCUGUACAUAUGUGUAUAUAUGUACAUGUAUUAUGUAUGCAAGGAUAACUUUUAAUAUUAAGUUUCAACAACCUAAAGAAUUUGUGGAAUAUGCCUGUGACCUUUGUUUAUAGUAUGAUAGGUCAUGAUAAGGCAAAGUAUUCCCCCUAGAUAUUUAUAAUUACUUAGACAGAUAUUUUGAUGUCUACUAUAGCAGUGAAUUCUGCAAAAGACAUUAAAACUUGUUUUAAUGAUUAACAAACUGUAAUUUCUGACUUUCUUCACUGGAUCAUUCAAAGCUUUACAAGAACCUUCUCUUGAUGUAUCUAUAAUUAUUUAUACAAUAGAAAUUGAAUAUUUCUUCAAAAAAUAAUGUCCUAAUUCUAAUUACAGCUCAUAGCAAUAGGACUUAUAUAGUGAUACUUGAAAAACACUGAAGGCACCCAGUGUAGGCACCCAGUGUAGUUCAGGGAACCCUGUGUGUGCUGGGAAGGCCACGCACUCAUGUGUAGUCCUUUACCCUCUAACAUACUUUAAAGUCCUCAGAGUCCCAAUUUUACAGAAGGGAAUGGAGAUCUAGUGGAGCGAAGCUUCCAGUGAGAAGGGCUGAGCUGCGCGGUAGAUUCUGGGACUUACUCUGUUGUACUUUGCUGCCUUCUGCUCAGUACCUUGUAUAAAAUUACUUGAUGUGCUCUCAUUCUCCACUCUUGUUUCUUCUGGCCAAAAUUAUUUCUGAAAAAGUCACUCUGUUUUCUAGUAAGUGAUGCUGUUCCAGUCUCCUUGCAUAUUUUUACUCCUAGUUUAUCAACUGAACUUUAUAGUCUACGUUCCCUUGGGAAAAAGACUGAAACCGCCAAGCUCUGUAAAGACGUGUGUAGGAUGUCGGUGGAGGAGUCAUUGUGAGUAAAUCUUAAAAAGGGAUGGGCUGUGGAUCUUUGUAUUUUGUAUCAUGUUUUGCAUGAGAAUGGCCCUGAAUUAUCUCAAGCUAAUUUUGUAAUAAAUAACAUUUUGUAAUUUUUGACACUUCUAGAUAAUGGGUUACAGACUGUUUCCAGAGUAUUUUUAUCCCUACUGAAAUUGUGGACUGUUAUAGCUACUAACUGAAAUGUCUCCUGUGUGUUUGAGAGCUCUGAAAAUACCCCCAGUUUCCAAGCCUUGUCUAGGGACUUGAUCUCAGCAGCAUUCCCUUACAGGGAGGGACUUCAGUAAGUAACUGUACAGAAGAAAACUGAAAAGAUAAUAGCAACAGGCAUAGUGGUCCACCUCUGUAAUCCUAGCAGUGGGGGUGCCAAGCCAGGAAAAUCAUGAGUUCAAGGUCAGCCUGGCCUACAUAAUGAAACCCUGUCUCAAAAUAAACAGCUGGGUAUGGAAGUCUGUACCUUUAAUCCCAGAAUUCGGGCAGCAAAUUAGGUGGAUCUCAGAGGUCUGGCCAGUCUGAUCUACUUAGUGAGUUCCAGGCCAGCCAGGGCUGCAUAGUGAAACCCUGUCUCAGACAGACAGACAGACAGAGAGACAAAGACAGGUGUACGAGCUAAUUGCAAACUUCUCUGACCUCUUAUGAAAAACAGUGAGGAGAGAAUAGCUGUGGAGUCUGGUCAGAAUUAAACAAUGGAACUGAGAGAAACUAAAUCAUUGUGCAGUUUGAGUUUAGAUGAUGAGAAAUGAAUGUUUUUAAUGAGAAAGUGAGCGUGUGUUGUUAUUUCAGCAACAUUGAAAGAACCAUAGUAAGGAUAUGGAGGCUGAGCCACUGAGUCACUUAAAAUCCCUCUCCGCAUUUCCGUUAAGUGUAAUGUCACAUGUGGAUCUGAAAGAAGCCAAAGAAGCCAACUUUUGGCAAGGUUUUACCAGCAAACCACUUACCUGUAUGUGUAGCACACAACACACAAAUCUCACUUUGGUCAAUUCUGAAAACGCUCUGAAUUCACACGCAUACAUAUUUCCAAGAUUUCAGAAAGAGAAUUGUGGAGUUCUAUAACUGUUAGUUAUUGGGAGAGGGGGUCCUGUAAGAUACGCUGUGAACAAGCUGAAGAAACCUCCUCUUCAGUAGGAGAGCUCUGCACUUAUGUCUAACAUAAUUAGGCUAAAAAAAAUACCACAUAGAGUUGUGGACCAGAAGACCAGAGAAAUUACAAAGAAUUUUCUCUUAAGUAGAGCAUGUCAGAAUAAAGGAAUAGCCUCUUAUCGUACUCACUUCAGAAUUCUUUGAACUGUUAUCACAUGCAUGCAUGACUUAGUUGUAAAAACCAACUAGCCAAUCUGACUUGAGUUUCGAAUAAUAUGCUAGGCACUGUGUCUGGCAAUGUAAUAGAAUCCUCCAGAGUUCUAAUGUGGAAAAUAAACUUGCAUGUGACAAUCUAAUGUGCACAAGCCAUAAGCGCCCAUCGAGAAUUAUGAGCAGACAAGGGAGGAGCGGCUAAUUCCCAGCUAAGUGAAAGUCUGCACUCGGACGUGCGUGCAGGUGAUGGCCCUGGAAAACUCGGGCAAGGCUGAGUCAGGGCAGCCAGGAUUCUUCCUGGCUCUAGACCUGUUAGAAAAGCUCUGACUCCAACCAAGGCAAGAGGAAGGUGGAAAGAGAAGAAAGAUAUGGAGUGACCAUGAAACUUUUUACCAUGCAGUUAGCGAAAACAGCCUUCAAAACGAGAAGGUGAUGAGAUGUUUGCCUCACUCCCUUUGUGAGCAAAAUAAAGGAGAACUUUCACAUAGGAAAUGUAUAUUUAAUCUCUACUCUCAGCCAGGAAGACCGUGAGAAAAUACACAUGAGCAGGCAAGGUUUUACAGAUGUUCAGUAUAAUGUUAGCUCUCUUUUUUUGGUUGUUGUUUUAGAUUGCAAGUAAAAUCUAUGGGUUGAGUGUAGCAUGACUCAUCGGAGCAGGGUCCCAAAGCAUCAGGCUAACUAAUCUCACAGGUGGUCUUCUAGGGGGCCCUAAUCCAGAUUGAAUCUUCUAAAGGCUCGCACAAAUCUGAUGAGGUCAUUGUUUGCUUUAUACUCAUCUUAGCAGCUGUAGCAGCUGCACCGCCUCUUCAAACACCCAGAUUAUAGGUUUAACCCUAGGGUUGAUCUGUUGAGGCUGAGUAGACGAAAGGUUUCUUGAAACACCACACUUUGAUAGGUCAGAAAUCAUGGCGUGGGAGCUAUACUGCAAAGCAAUUGCAAUGGGACAUGGCCAGAUACAUUACAACUAAAUACCACAUAUGAGAAGUUAAUAGGAAGAAAGACAGAGAAUGAGAAGAAGAAG
rnacentral:lncRNA from 1 species